rnacentral:rRNA from 1 species
UACGUAGGGUGCAAGCGUUAUCCGGAAUUAUUGGGCGUAAAGAGCUCGUAGGCGGUUUGUCACGUCUGCUGUGAAAACUGGAGGCUCAACCUCCAGCCUGCAGUGGGUACGGGCAGACUAGAGUGCGGUAGGGGAGAUUGGAAUUCCUGGUGUAGCGGUGAAAUGCGCAGAUAUCAGGAGGAACACCAGCGGCGAAGGCGCUGCUCUGGGCCGGUACUGACGCUGAGGAGCGAAAGCGUGGGGAGCGAACAGG